GCAGGGAUAGCUCAGUGGUAAAGUGCAUGCUUAGCAUGCAUGAGGUCCUGGGUUCAAUCCCUAGGACCAGCA
rnacentral:tRNA from 1 species